rnacentral:rRNA from 1 species
UACGAAGGGGGCUAGCGUUGUUCGGAAUCACUGGGCGUAAAGGGCGCGUAGGCGGCUUUAUAAGUCGGGGGUGAAAGCCUGUGGCUCAACCACAGAAUUGCCUUCGAUACUGUAGAGCUUGAGACCGGAAGAGGUAAGUGGAACUGCGAGUGUAGAGGUGAAAUUCGUAGAUAUUCGCAAGAACACCAGUGGCGAAGGCGGCUUGACUGGUCCGGUUCUGACGCUGAGGCGCGAAAGCGUGGGGAGCAAACAGG